CUGUAUGUUUAGGUAACUAUUACUGAUUGUCAGACAACACAAAACGAAUUAGAUCUGAUCGAAGCUCUAUUUGACAAUGACGUUGAAGAGAAAACUGAUCUGGUGAUAGAUGCAAUAUGGGAUAUUUCGGACAACAAGAAAAACGGAUCCAUUCCUAUUAGACGUUUGGCCCAUAACAUAUUCGGUACACACCGCGAAAACAUAUCUGGCUGGUUAAAAGAACAUCGAGGGUUAAUCUUUGUAGAUAACAAUAUAGAAAGAAUAAACCAGACCAACUUUAAAUUGUUGUUGUAUGCCACUAUAAGUCUUCCGGAGCUAAAAGAUAUUUAUAUCAAGUUGAAGAGAGCCAGGGAUGCACUUCAUUAAAUAUUGUACAGUGAUAAAUAUAAAGCAACAUUUGAAACUUUUUAAAUAUAAACACUUUAUUUAAC